GCUGAGACAUGGACCCUACUUUACGCCAAGCAGAGGGCCGUGGGGUUCCCUCGUGUGACUGUGAGGUUUGCUGGAGACUGCGAGCCUGCCAGUGUGGCCUCUGCCCUGCCUGGUGCCCAUCCUGUCUCCGAUCCACCUGCACGCCGCAUCCUGGAUCCUCAUCUCCCGCACCCAUGGAUUUCAGCAUCCAGUGUUUCUUGGCGUUCCCUCUCACAGGCCCAGUUCCUCAUGGACGUGAGACCUUCCCACCCAGCGUCUCCCCGAACACGGCCGAAUAACAGAAGAUCUUCUUCAGAAACCUCAAGCUCCGAUGAUGCCUUCAGACCCAUGAAGAUGGAGUGUGAAAUUCCAUGAAUAUCGAGUCUAUUUUCUGGACCCCAGAGGCUUCAAUGGAAAAUUGAAGAAUAUGAAUGAAUAUAGCAAAUUUCAGCAGAGAGAUCGAAAGGACCACAGAGGAUGAAAUGAUGAAAUGCUCAUGCAAGAGAAAAAUCUCAACAAAGGAGCUACAGAAUGCUUUCCCCAGACUGUCUGUCUGACACCAGAUUUGACAACACUUUGUAAAUAACCAGGAGCCACAGUAGAAAUAUUCUAGGGAAUGGGAAUCACUGUCUCCUGAGGUAACAAAGAAAUAUAGAAAGCCAACAAAAUGUUUAGAAUUAUAAUCAUGAUAAUAAUGAUAGCUAGCAUUUAUUGAGUACUUGCUGUGUUCCAGCCAGGCUUGGUACUAACCUCUGUAUAUUUAGUAACUCAUCCAUUGGCUCUAUGUGACAUGUCCUACAAUCAGUCCAAGAGUAGGAAACUGACGGUGACAGAGAUGAAAAGACUUUUUUUUUU
rnacentral:lncRNA from 1 species